CGCGGGGUGGAGCAGUUGGCAGCUCGUCGGGCUCAUAACCCGAAGGUCGAAGGUUCAAGUCCUUCCCCCGCAA
rnacentral:tRNA from 1 species